rnacentral:rRNA from 1 species
UACGUAGGGGGCAAGCGUUAUCCGGAUUUACUGGGUGUAAAGGGAGCGUAGACGGCCAGGCAAGUCUGGAGUGAAAGCCCAAAGCUCAACUAUGGGACUGCUCUGGAAACUGCCCGGCUGGAGUGCGGGAGAGGUAAGCGGAAUUCCUAGUGUAGCGGUGAAAUGCGUAGAUAUUAGGAGGAACACCAGUGGCGAAGGCGGCUUACUGGACUGUAACUGACACUGAGGCACGAAAGCGUGGGGAGCAAACAGG